CAAGGAAUAUUAGACAAUGGGGGAAACCCUGAUCUAGCAACGCCGCGUGAAGGAAGAAGGCCUUCGGGUUGUAAACUUUUGUCUUCAGGGAAGAAUAAAUGACGGUACCUGAGGAGGAAGCCACGGCUAACUACGUGCCAGCAGCCGCGGUAAUACGUAGGUGGCAAGCGUUAUCCGGAAUUACUGGGUGUAAAGGGUGCGUAGGCGGGAUGAUAAGUUAGAUGUGAAAUUUCCGGGCUCAACUCGGACGCUGCAUUUAAAACUAUCAUUCUUGAGUGAAGGAGAGGCAAGUGGAAUUCCCGGUGUAGCGGUGGAAUGCGUAGAUAUCGGGAGGAACACCAGUGGCGAAGGCGGCUUGCUGGACUUUUACUGACGCUGAUGCACGAAAGCAUGGGGAGCAAACA
rnacentral:rRNA from 1 species